CGAACUGGUGAGUAACACGUGGGAAACCUGCCCAGAAGCGGGGGAUAACACCUGGAAACAGAUGCUAAUACCGCAUAACAACUUGGACCGCAUGGUCCGAGUUUGAAAGAUGGCUUCGGCUAUCACUUUUGGAUGGUCCCGCGGCGUAUUAGCUAGAUGGUGGGGUAACGGCUCACCAUGGCAAUGAUACGUAGCCGACCUGAGAGGGUAAUCGGCCACAUUGGGACUGAGACACGGCCCAAACUCCUACGGGAGGCAGCAGUAGGGAAUCUUCCACAAUGGACGAAAGUCUGAUGGAGCAACGCCGCGUGAGUGAAGAAGGGUUUCGGCUCGUAAAACUCUGUUGUUAAAGAAGAACAUAUCUGAGAGUAACUGUUCAGGUAUUGACGGUAUUUAACCAGAAAGCCACGGCUAACUACGUGCCAGCAGCCGCGGUAAUACGUAGGUGGCAAGCGUUGUCCGGAUUUAUUGGGCGUAAAGCGAGCGCAGGCGGUUUUUUAAGUCUGAUGUGAAAGCCUUCGGCUCAACCGAAGAAGUGCAUCGGAAACUGGGAAACUUGAGUGCAGAAGAGGACAGUGGAACUCCAUGUGUAGCGGUGAAAUGCGUAGAUAUAUGGAAGAACACCAGUGGCGAAGGCGGCUGUCUGGUCUGUAACUGACGCUGAGGCUCGAAAGUAUGGGUAGCAAACAGGAUUAGAUACCCUGGUAGUCCAUACCGUAAACGAUGAAUGCUAAGUGUUGGAGGGUUUCCGCCCUUCAGUGCUGCAGCUAACGCAUUAAGCAUUCCGCCUGGGGAGUACGGCCGCAAGGCUGAAACUCGAAGGAAUUGACGGGGGCCCGCACAAGCGGUGGAGCAUGUGGUUAAUUCUAAGCUACGCGAAGAACCUUACAAGUCUUGACUACUAUGCAAAUCUAAGAGAUUACACGAUCCUU
rnacentral:rRNA from 1 species